UGCGGCGUUUCCGAGAGUGCGGACACGGGCUGUGGGCUCAGCGGCGCCGCGGGCGCGCGGGAGUAGGGCAGGCGCCGACAGGCGGCUGCGGGCAGACGCCUUUCUCUGCUUCGGGGUCCUGUCCUGCCGGGGGCGGUACCGAAGGCGGUACCGGGGGCGGUACCAAGGGCGGAACCAGGGGCGGUACCAAGGGCGGCACCGACGGCGGUACCGAUGGCGGUACCGGGCGGGGAUCCAGGUCACAGGAUAUACUGGGAUUGAGAGGGUUCCUAAAAUCCGACUCUCGAGGACACGGCCCGUGGGAGAAUUGAAAUCACAACCUUGGCACUACCUGGACUGUGCUCCGACUGACUGAGCCCUCUGCAUCUCAGGGAGAAGUGAGCAGGACAGGUUCUGAGGCUUCCCUUGCUGCGUGGCCUGAGUUCUUCUGGAGAGUGGCAGGUGGCAUUUCCUGCAGCUGCGAGGGGCAGGACGAGGCCAGGAGUCCCCGAAAGGCAUCCAGCACCUCUUGUCCUUGGGCCCUCGGGGCAGGGGCUGUGCCUGCAGCGUCCUGCCCGUGCCGAGCACACAGCCCGGGAUGGGCGCUGGGUGCCCGGCCGGCGCUGGCACGGACACGGCUCAAGGGCUGCCCGUGGCUCCCGGGCCAGGGGCUGCUCUGAGCAGGCUCCUGGAGAUGCUUCAGCCUGGAUACAGGCCACUGACAGCCCAAAAGCAGCCCAAGGAGCAGCUGGCGUGUCCUGGUGAUGGCGGCACGGGCUGCAUGCAGAGGGGCUCAGACAGCAAUUCCUGGUUCCAGCCUCCCAGAGCUCCCAGGCAGCUGCCAGCUAUUAAAUGCCAACCGACAGCCUGCAGAGAUGCCUUCAAAUCAAAGGUUCAGGUGGGAUGAAGUUUUGUUUGGACGAAGGUGGGAGUUUCCAGGGAGCCAGCUGGAAGUGCAGAAGGGAUGGAAAGCUUUCCCAGGUGGGUCCCACUGGAGGUGUGCUGAAGGCAGGGAUGUGCACCCUUUGCUGAGGGAAAAGAACUUGCUGAGGCUCUGAAAGGAGCUGAGCUGCUGCAGGGAGAGAUGUCCUCCCGUGGGCACGGGGAGCUGCCUUGGCACGGGACGGGAGCGCCCCCGGCCCUGCCUUCUCCUGCUUGAAAAUAUCACCUGGAGCCCCGGCUCAGGGGGGCUAAAUCAGCUGAACUCCAGGCAGCUCUGUCAGCUGCCCCCAGGGACAUGGGUGGGGCUGGGGGAUGAGGGCUUUAGAUAGCCAGUUGUUUGGAGCAGAUGCCUGUCCCUGUCCCGAUGCUGCUGAGCUUCCUUGGACGCUCUGCCCGUUCCUGGCACAGCUGGCGUUCAAGGGGCAGCUCUGCACGGGAAUAUCCACCCUCCAGGAGGCACUGUGAGGUUAUGACAUUACAUAUGAGCAUUACUGUAGCCAGCCCAGAGCUGGAGGUUUGUUUUAGAAAGAAAAUUCUUGGACUCUGCAAAAGUGAAAGCUCAGUUUCUACAAAAACCAUCUGGUUGUGGCAUUGCACGCUCCAGACACUCUUCUCUCCUUGCCUGAGCAAAAGGUUUUAUCUCCUGUACUAAAUCAGGAGAAGCACAAAGACAGAAUUCCACAUUCACCAAGCAUUAAAUAAGGGCUUCAAAAGAAAAAUCAGGGCAGCAGUAACUCUUAAGAGCACUUGGCUUCAGUCUAACAGGCAAGCCUCAGAACAGCUGUUCACCUUUAGUGCUGCAGAGGUACUUCCAAGACUGUCACUAGAGGUCAGACAUCUAGGUCUUAUCGCCUUUAUUUGUGGUGUGAAGAUUGCCAGCCCUUAAGGCCAGCAGGGCCUCCUGCAUCAGGCAGGGCUCAGUGGUGCCUUUACCUGCGGAAGGUCGGCUGAAUCCAUACAGGUCUCUGUACUGCAAAUGCACAUGAACCAGUGGAAGAAAGCUCUCCAUGUGCUUCCUCAGGUACUUCCCAGUGGCACUGCUCAGACACCAGAGCUCCAACUGCAGCAGGUGAGUCCUGGAGUGCUGGAUCAGCAUGGCCACAAUGGCCAGGGAGGUGAGUGAGCACUGGGCAAGGCAGUGAGCCUGCACCUCAACACCACCUGUGAGAGCAAGGACUGGCUCACUCUGGAGAGCCUGAAGGAAAACUCGCUCCAAAUCUCUUCUGGCCGAUGCUGACAUCAAUUUCCCCAAAGCCUUAAUGUGCUCUGUGGACAGCAGAAGUUCUCCUUGCUGGGGCUGUCUUUGGUGGCUGUCUGUAAAAGAGCUGCACCAAAGUUUGUCCAUAGAAGCUUAACUGCUUCCCUAUUUUAGGGGAUUUUUUCAGAUUUCUGAGAAGCCAAGCCCAUCUCAGGAAGUUGCAGCAUGGUUAAAGUGAUCUCCUUCAGCUGAGCUGCAGUCAUGUACAUGUGCAGCUCCUCCAGAGCCUGCAGCUGCAGCUGGAGCACCCCAGAAUGGAGGUGAGCUGACAGGAGCUUCACAGUGACAGGGUUCAGACCAGGCUGAGGAAUAGAGCGCAGCUCCAACGCCAGGAACCAGCUCUCCAGUGCAGGAUGUCUGAAAAUCAAGGUGAGUGCAUCCUCCAGGGGUC